rnacentral:rRNA from 1 species
CGGGUGAGUAACGCGUGGAUAACCUGCCUCACGUGGGGGAGUAACAGUUAGAAAUGACUGCUAAUACCGCAUAAGCGCACAGUACCGCAUGGUACAGUGUGAAAAACUCCGGUGGUGUGAGAUGGAUCCGCGUCUGAUUAGCCAGUUGGCGGGGUAACGGCCCACCAAAGCGACGAUCAGUAGCCGACCUGAGAGGGUGACCGGCCACAUUGGGACUGAGACACGGCCCAA